rnacentral:rRNA from 1 species
GGGGAAUUUUGGACAAUGGGGGCAACCCUGAUCCAGCCAUGCCGCGUGAGUGAAGAAGGCCUUCGGGUUGUAAAGCUCUUUCGGCCGGGAGGAAAUCGCAUCAGUUAAUACCUGGUGUGGAUGACAGUACCGGAAUAAGAAGCACCGGCUAACUACGUGCCAGCAGCCGCGGUAAUACGUAGGGUGCGAGCGUUAAUCGGAAUUACUGGGCGUAAAGCGUGCGCAGGCGGUUUUUUAAGACAGGCGUGAAAUCCCCGGGCUCAACCUGGGAACUGCGCUUGUGACUGGAAGGCUAGAGUAUGGCAGAGGGGGGUGGAAUUCCACGUGUAGCAGUGAAAUGCGUAGAGAUGUGGAGGAACACCGAUGGCGAAGGCAGCCCCCUGGGCCAAUACUGACGCUCAUGCACGAAAGCGUGGGGAGCAAAC